GAGCAGAGGCAGAGUGUUAAGGUGGCCUCUGCAUUUUCAUCUCCAUCCCAUACCCAGACCUGGGUGGUAUGGAAUGAUAAUCAGCAGGAACAGGUUAUAACUCUGUUACCACCUACCCCCAUACUCUCUUCCCAGUCAACACCAUCUAAACAUGGGAUUGCUGGACAGAACCACAGGAUGAAUCCCCCAGUUGACCACUAGACCCACAGCCAAUCCCUCACCGUGGGACUCCUGGACCCUCUAGAUACCAAAAACAACUGAAAGAAGACUCGCACAGAAGGACCAGCAGACAAAAAGCGUUGACCGGCAGCCCAGUCUCAUCAUUGGAACGCCGACUUCACCUCACACGGAGACCCCUGCUCAGGCUUCUACAAAGGGCAUAUUAGGCAUCUUCCUACUACGACCACACAGGACAACCCGAUCUCACCAACCCAAGAUCAACUAAGAACCAAAGACAAAGAAACCCCUCAAAGAAAACAGCUUACCCCCACCAUACCAGGGGACCCAGAGACCCGGUCAUACCCUCAUAAGGUUGACAUAGGGAAGGGCUCCUUUUGGGCAACACAAACCCUCCUAACCUUCCCCCACAUCAUACCCUGACCAGGGUGAUUGAGGGAACGGAGCAGAGGCAGAGUGUUAAGGUGGCCUCUGCAUUUUCAUCUCCAUCCCAUACCCAGACCUGGGUGGUAUGGAAUGAUAAUCAGCAGGAACAGGUUAUAACUCUGUUACCACCUACCCCCAUACUCUCUUCCCAGUCAACACCAUCUAAACAUGGGAUUGCUGGACAGAACCACAGGAUGAAUCCCCCAGUUGACCACUAGACCCACAGCCAAUCCCUCACCGUGGGACUCCUGGACCCUCUAGAUACCAAAAACAACUGAAAGAAGACUCGCACAGAAGGACCAGCAGACAAAAAGCGUUGACCGGCAGCCCAGUCUCAUCAUUGGAACGCCGACUUCACCUCACACGGAGACCCCUGCUCAGGCUUCUACAAAGGGCAUAUUAGGCAUCUUCCUACUACGACCACACAGGACAACCCGAUCUCACCAACCCAAGAUCAACUAAGAACCAAAGACAAAGAAACCCCUCAAAGAAAACAGCUUACCCCCACCAUACCAGGGGACCCAGAGACCCGGUCAUACCCUCAUAAGGUUGACAUAGGGAAGGGCUCCUUUUGGGCAACACAACCCCUCCUAACCUUCCCCCACAUCAUACCCUGACCAGGGUGAUUGAGGGAACGGAGCAGAGGCAGAGUGUUAAGGUGGCCUCUGCAUUUUCAUCUCCAUCCCAUACCCAGACCUGGGUGGUAUGGAAUGUUAAUCAGCAGGAACAGGUUCAAACUCUGUUACUACUUACCUCCAUACUCUCUUCCCAGUCAACCCCAUCUAAACAUGGGAUUGCUGGGUAGAACCACAGGCUGAAUCCCCCAGUUGACCACUAGACCCACAGCCAAUCCCACACCGUGGGACUCCUGGACCCUCUAGAUACCAAAAAACAACUGAAAGAAGAUUCGCACAGAAGGACCAGCAGAUAAAAAGCGAGGACCGGCAGCCCAGUCUCAUCAUUGGAAACGCCGACUUCACCUCACACAGAGACCCCUGUUCAGGCUUCAACUAAUGGCACUACAGGCUCCUACCUACCCCAACCACACAGGACAACCCGAUCUCACCAACCCAAGAUCAACUAAGAACCAAAGACAAAGAAACCCCUCAAAGAAAACAGCUUACCCCCACCAUACCAGGGGACCCAGAGACCCGGUCAUACCCUCAUAAGGUUGACAUAGGGAAGGG